GAUUACAGGAAAACUGUAAGAGGUGACGCAGAUAUUGAACACGCCCGAUCUGGGCUGGGUCGGGCCUGGUCAGUACUUGGAUGGGAGACCGCCUGGGAAUACCAGGUGCUGUAAGCU
rnacentral:rRNA from 1 species